rnacentral:misc_RNA from 1 species
CUAAGUUGGUUCUAAGUUUGUUUUUUGAGGAAACUUGCACAGAUUUUCUAACCUUGACCAAUUCACAAGCAUUUAAAAAUCAGAAGUCAGCAUAAGACAUCUGAUUUAUGUAUUGAAGUAGAUGAAAUAUAACACAACCACUAACUAUAGGUUGUACAUAUUGCAUAACAAUUUGGGUUGGCUCAAUUGGUACAUUUGAGAAUAAUCCCAUAUAAAGGGUCAUUAGUUCAAAUGUAGGCCUUUUCCCCAAGAAAAAGAAAAUUACUGAUUAUACAAAAUACACAAACCUAACCUGCAAACCACCAAAAUUAUGGGAAUAACAGGCUAAACAAAGAUUACUAGAUUCUAAUGCUGCAUUAUAAUUGUAACUCCCAGAAUACCCAUUUCUGAAUGCAUCAAUUCAAAAUAAUUUUUGAAGGAAGGUGAAUCCCUGGCAUGUGCUCUUCUGAAAAUAGGCCCUUGCAGCCAACAAGUUUCACAAUAAAAUGAGAACUGAGAUUGUACCUUUCCUUAACUUCCAUAAAUCCCCUGCUAAGGAUUUGCUCCACCCAAUCCUCCACCAUUCUUUUCCUAUUAGAUAAAUAUGAAGCUGCAAGUAAUUGCUCCAUGACUUUUGGGUCAAUGUCUAGGAAACACUCUGAGCCAAUGAUCUUGUGGAAGCUCUCAUUGAUCUCAUUCAAUAUUCUCUCAGCAAGAGCAUCAAAAUCAAAAGGCUUGAAAACCACUAUUCUGUCUACUUGAUCAAAGAAAUCUCGCAACCAAGCCUUGGAGUUACCAGACAUGCAGUCAUUAUCAGAAUUUCCAUCAUCAGUGCCUAGCUCGUCAUUCUCUUCAGCAGGAAGGUUCAAAUCUAGAUUCCUAGCAGAUAUCUUAUGAGCCCGUUUAACCACUUCUGAAGUUUCAUGCUGCUCUAGAUUUUGAUUUGUACCAACAAGCUUCCUUUUAUUCACAAGCAUCAUAGCAGCCAUGCCUUUUCUCUUUGCGAUUGAAAGAUUCAAAAUUUGACCCAUGUUGUCGGCAGGAGCUUGUUCAAUUAACAUCUGCAUUGGCCAGCCCUUUGCUCUCAAUAUUCUUUCCUCAUCAUAGGUAGAGAAAUCCUUCCUGGAAGGGAGAACUUUAUCAUCUGUAAAUGUUGAAGUUGUCACAAAAAUUGCAUUGUUUAUUCCAACUUCUCUUCCAUGUGAAUCAGAAAAUUUACCAGUCCGAAUAGCACGAGACAAAUAAUUCUGAGCCUGCACAUCAGCCUUAUCUACAUUUUCAAGAAAGACAACAGAUAAGGGAUUCUUGCACAGCUCCCCAGCAACAUAAUCAAUCACAGUCUUCCCUCUGAAUAUUACAUCAUAGCCAUGCACUUCUUGGCUGUGUGUGUGAAUCCUCCCAUAAGGUGCACUUAAAUCUGCAGAUAUUAAAUUUUCCUUGCUUCCAUAUAUUAUCUUGGCCAGAGCAGCAGCAAUUUUCUUCUUACCGCAGCUAUCAGGUCCAAGGAAAUUGAACCAUAUAUCCCGUCUCAGACUCGCUCCUUGGCAUCUUUUGUUUGCUGUCCUGCAAUGAGCUAUUGUUUGGCUGAUAACAUGUACAGCUUCAUCUUGCCAGCUAACUUUCUCCCUUAGAGCUCCGAAAAGCGUCUUGAAACUGCUAGGAUCAAACUGCCCACCAAAAUCAAGAGAAGAAGAUGGUGAUGAUUGAGCUAGCUGUUCAGAGAUACUCCCAUUGACAACAUCAACAUUUGGUGAAAGGGAACCUGAUAACUCCUGUGGAAGCUCUCUAUGAUUUUUAUUUACAGAUUUCUUCGGCUCAUUGCUGGUAGAAACAGGGCUUAUUCUCAAGCCCAAAUCUGUUGUCACAGAAGUCACUGAUGCAGGAGAUGCUUGACUUCCAUCAGCCAUGCUUGAAUUGGAAAAACAACAAGGAGAUCUAAGACCACCUGACUCAAGAUCUUCUUUUGAAGGUUUUGCCCAUUGUUUGGAUUGGGCACUCUUGGUGUUCAGCUCAGAAACUACAGAUAAAGGAACACCUAAUUGCUUUCUUGAAAUCUUCUGCACAUCGAUGGGGACAUUCAUGCAUCUACUUUCAUUUGGUGAUGCAAUUUUAUGAUUGCUGCUACACUUAUCAACAUCUUCCUUUUUAUCUUCAGCAAGCUGAAAGCCAACAACAGUUGGAAACCUAGAAGGAUGAAUGUUUGACCCAGGUGAUUGGGUGUGAUUAAGACGCUGGCAUAUGCUAUCCCAUUUUUUUUGCAGGCCUGCAAUUUUGGCACUCAAUACCACUCCAUCAUCUCUUGUCUGCACUGAAGAGAGAACAGCUAGUUUUUACAUAGAUAUGGGAAAGAUUCUUUUUAAUUUCAUUAUGUUAAGCCAAAUGUGCUACAAGCCCAUUCAUGUGACAGAAUUUUAACCAUCAUUUUCUCCCAUGAACAAAAAUUGCUACAUAGUUCUUGUGUAUUACAGGAGUACAAUAUGUAAUGGAACAUAGUCUUUAGACCAAAAGCAUAGAGCUAUAUACGUUUAUCAAUUAUGUAAUGACUAAGACAGACAGACUGUGUAUGUUCACGAAUUCUAUGUUCUACAGGGGCAAUGGAUUCAGGCUAGACAAAUAUGCUGUGUUAUAUCCCAUUUCAGAGGUUUGAUAUGAACAACAAAUUCACAGGUUUAAUUUUCACCAAUUGCUGAUAAUCUUAUCACAGAAUUUCAAUAUGAAUACUAAAUUUCAAUUUGUAUCAUCAAAAUCACUCCACUUAUAUUUUGCUUUAACAUGGUUAUCCUUGCUUAAUUUUUAUAUAGAUUUAACCAAAUUUUUAAUGUAAUGACUAAGAUCUAGCCAAACCAACCAACAGCGACUUUAUUGAAACACAAAUUAAAGUUGAAUGAUUUUGCUUAUAUAAAUUGAAGUUCAACAGCUAUCGUGUUUAAUAAAUAUUAGUGAAAUUACGCCUAAUAUCAUGAUUAAACAUGUGGUCUGCAUUUUUUACUCACAGUAAAUAGAAAGAGGAAAUUCCUCUAUGGAAGACAUAUUUAAAAGCGAAACACACCUUCCCAUCCAAUCCCUUGUUUGUGCCAAGUUCAGUCAUUUUCAGCCAAGAAGAUAAGUUGGAUUGGUACUGAUCUGCUACUGAUGCAAUAAAUCCACCUUUUGAAACAGCAAGUACUUCUUGUUCACACCUCUCAUUGCACAUAUGACAGCGGGAUAUGCAUGGGUUAGAGCUGCUUAAGGAGCUAUUCAACUCUGAAGGUGUAGAAAAGAACCCACCAAAUGGAACAAAUGAUUCCAUCAAGCUGGACUUUGGGUAAGAUUCAACCAUGGAAUUUCUGAAAGAAGUGAUUGGCAAAAGCUGCAAAUCCCAGUCCUUUUCAAUGGAAGGAAAUCUGCUAACAAACUUCAAAUAACCCUCAUAACUUGCUGUUGCACCUAUAAACCACACUUUCCUUCCAUGUAACUGCAACAACCUUGUCAAUUUUUCAACCAAAUAGGUCACUGAAUCACUCAAACUAUUACCAUUACCAUUACCACCUUCACCACCAACAAAUGCCUUCAAGUCCCCCAGAUUCACCACCAACCCAGGUCCCAAAUUUUGUUCCGCAAAUCGACCGACCUCCGCAAAUCUCAAAUCCGCAUACCCUUUAUCGAAAUUCUCACUUAUAAACUUUGAAAUAUCACUUUCAAUGCAAGUCACAGUUAUUCCAGAUAACUCCACAGGCAAAAUGUUCUCUUUUCUUUUCUCUAUUACCUCACUGAAACUUGCUAGUGUCUCAUACGCACAUACACCAACAAGCAGGGGGUUUCUCCCUUUGUUUCUCACAAGCACCUCACCUAUCCUCCGACAAUUCUCAUCUCCGUUGAAAGACCCAGUAAAACCCGGAAAAGGAAAGCUAAAACCCCUCCUACCAGAACCCAUAUCCGGAUUAUCACUCAAGUUACAGAGAAACAUAGGAGGGCCUUUAAACCGCGAGAAUUUGAAAACUUGCGUAAGGGGCCGGACAAUAGCAAGCUUGAUUUCAGAGCCCCGGAAACCCGCUUCUCCGAAAACCCGACUCACAACCGGGUCAUCGAGUAUCGAUAAAAUCAAGUUCUGGAGCUCCACUUUUAUGCACGACAUUGAAGUAGAGGAUUGCUGCUGCGAUAUUUGGUGAUACAAAUGGAAAUUCUCUGGCUGCCUCCUCUGGUUCGCCUGAGACCUUUUUAUUGCCGCCAUGAGCGAGUUGGACACCGGUGGGUCAUCACUUAGCUGACUCGCCGGAACCCUGUCAAGCGAAACGCUAAGACAAAGCUCAAGAGCCUUGAAUUGAAGGCGAGGCGAGUAAGCCGAGUUUCUAGCACGCGCACAAGCGUCACGUAGAAUGGACGAAGGCAGAGCAAGCAAAGCAGAUACAGCAUGAAGCGACGUCGUUUGUCCAUGUCCUCUCCGGCGCGCGACACUCACUGCUUCAUCUAGCGCGUGAGCUGCUUCAGGUGUCAAGCAUUCCCUAGCCGUACUAACCGGCGUAGGCAUCGCCGGUAAACAAGUUAAAAGAAACAAAAAAAUUCGUUACAAAGUUUGUUAUUUCGUUUUUUUUCCUCCCCCUUUUCUUUAAAUGUCUUUGUUUAUUGAACAAACAGAACAAAAACAAAUAUAGAUUUUAAAAAAAGAGAGAACAAAAGCUCAUAAAAAAAGAGAAAGAAUCAAGAACUUGUUGGCGGUAUGAGAGUUCUUUUCUUCAAUAAAAAAAAAACUUAAAUAUUGAAUGAUGGCUACUGGAGGUGGUGGAGUUGAGGUGGUGGAGGUGGUGGUGGUGGU